UGGGGAAUAUUGCACAAUGGGCGCAAGCCUGAUGCAGCCAUGCCGCGUGUGUGAAGAAGGCCUUCGGGUUGUAAAGCACUUUCAGCGGGGAGGAAGGCGAUAAGGUUAAUAACCUUGUCGAUUGACGUUACCCGCAGAAGAAGCACCGGCUAACUCCGUGCCAGCAGCCGCGGUAAUACGGAGGGUGCAAGCGUUAAUCGGAAUUACUAGGCGUAAAGCGCACGCAGGCGGUCUGUCAAGUCGGAUGUGAAAUCCCCGGGCUCAACCUGGGAACUGCAUUCGAAACUGGCAGGCUAGAGUCUUGUAGAGGGGGGUAGAAUUCCAGGUGUAGCGGUGAAAUGCGUAGAGAUCUGGAGGAAUACCGGUGGCGAAGGCGGCCCCCUGGACAAAGACUGACGCUCAGGUGCGAAAGCGUGGGGAGCAAACAGG
rnacentral:rRNA from 1 species